rnacentral:piRNA from 1 species
UGGUACACAAGUCACUGGCCUGGAACUC